CUGGCUCAUGGCCUCUCCCAAGACCUGCCCUUGGACCUCAGUUCCUGGCAUCCGGUUGCUGGAGACCAAGGUUGCCAGGGACCAAGGCCUCUGGGCCUCAGAAGGUUCUUGGCUGCCUGCU
ensembl:miRNA eca-mir-9043 eca-mir-9043